GAUGAACGCUAGCGGGAGGCCUAAUACAUGCAAGUCGAGCGGUAGAGUGACUUCGGUUGCUUGAGAGCGGCGAACGGGUGAGUAACGCGUACACAAUCUACCUUUAAGAGGGGAAUAGCCCUGGGAAACUGGGAUUAAUGCCCCAUGGCAUCACGAAGUGGCAUCGCUUUGUGAUUAAAGCUGAGGUGCUUAGAGAUGAGUGUGCGUCUGAUUAGCUAGUUGGUGCGGUAACGGCGCACCAAGGCGACGAUCAGUAGGGGGCGUGAGAGCGUGGACCCCCACACGGGUACUGAGACACGGACCCGACUCCUACGGGAGGCAGCAGUAAGGAAUAUUGGUCAAUGGAGGAAACUCUGAACCAGCCAUCCCGCGUGCAGGAAGAAUGCCCUAUGGGUUGUAAACUGCUUUUAUCUGGGAAGAAAAGUCGGGAUUUAUCCUGAUCUGACGGUACCAGAGGAAUAAGCACCGGCUAACUCCGUGCCAGCAGCCG
rnacentral:rRNA from 1 species